GACGCCAUGAUGAACACACAACAUUAUCUAUGUUUCUCUGCCUUUGUAUAAAUUGUGUCAUUUACUUCAAUGCUGUUUAUGUCCUUAUUUGCCCAAUAAAUACUCACUGAAAUCAUCCCUGGUAUGUGAAGGAAAAAUUAGUCAAUGUUUUUAUAUCUAUUUUGGUUUAGAAUAACAGACUCUUAAAGAAUUGCUAGCUCUGGGCAGCGACAUCUAUUAAAGUAAGGCAGGAGAAUCUUACUCAUGGCACAGUUGCAAAUAGGUCUAAUCUUAUCUGACCAGUUCUGAAGCUGGGAUGUCCUUCAAACUUGUCCCAAAUUAAGGAAAGGGGAUGAACUGUUUGUAUCCUAGCAUCAUGCAGUCAUUGGACUUAGGGCACAACUCUAAAGGAUAUACAAUCUCGGGCAAUACAGUUACUGGAGCUGAAGGCAUUAUCCAGUGGCGGACAUGACUCUAAGCAGCUAUCAACGGCCAGUAGCUCCAGAAGUAUGGGUGCAUUGCCUGGGAAGAAAAGCUCUUGAUGAUGCACCACAGCAUAUAUUCUAGACCUUACAGAAAACCACACAGUGAAGAAAGCUUUCCCUUUUUUGCUGUGGAAUGAUUUGACUUCUCACACUUCUGUUGGAAUGAAAAUUAGAUUCAAGGACAGCUCUGUACCCGAUAACUCUGACAAGGUGUGAAAUGCUAAGGUUUUGUCCUAGCUUCAUUGGAAGUUUCAAAAGGAACAAAGAGAGAAAAUAUAAACAAAAACGAACUCCGACUUGUGGCACCUCAGUUGGGGAGAACUUUGGAGGCAAAAGAUCUUCUCUCAACUUCCUACCUCAGGAACCAUGAGGACUUCUCUAUGUAUGAGAUCAGCUGUGAUUUCCCUCAUGGGUUGUCUGUGGUGUUUUAUUCUAAAAGGUAAUUCAAGAUUUGGGAGGCCACACAUGUAAUGAAGAGAAAAGUGAAGAAAUGAAGACAGUUUUCUCUGCCAUCGGUCCACAGUGUCUGAAUACACUGCGAAUCCUUUUAAAACUUCCUUGCAAAUAAUAAUACCAGACUAAUAGUGUUUUAAGCAAAUAGUGGUUUGUUUCUCUCACAUAACAAGGAGUCCAGAAGCAGUCACUGACAUUAAGCAUCACGGAUCGACACAUAGACCUUUCCUUGUCAUAUUUCUUUUUCUAACUUCACCAUUUUUGUCACAGACCAAUCCCUGAAGCUCAUAAAUUAGCCCUAACCGUUUCCCACGUUUUUAUAUUUGUCUUUCUCUCCUGUAUCAGAAAACAACAACAAUAACAACAAAAACCAUCAACUGUUCAGGAAAUGUAUCUAGACUGACUUAGGAAGGUACCUCUUUAUCUGGGCGAUUCCUCCCAUUGGCUAUCCCUAUUUCUGUGUUUAUCAAGCUUGUCCCACUUGGAAUUUGUUUUGUUUUUGAUCCCAGUACCAGGCAUUCUUCCUUACACACUGCUUUCCACUCCUCCCCCAAACAAGUUUUCAUAGAUUUUGAAGCUUCAGGGUUUUGAAUUUUUAAAAAACAUUACCAUUUUAGUGUUCCAUGACAGCACACCCCAGUUCUACUACAGUUCUUGAUGUUUUAUGAGUGUCCAUUGCCUUAACUGCUGAUAUUAUCAAAUGUCUCUCUUUUCUCCUUAUCCAGCUCUAUGCUACAUUUACUUUCUCUUUUAAUUACCUUCUCUCAUCCAAACACAAACUCUUUGUUGGUCUGCUGCAUCCAACUUUGCAUCUAUAGCCAACUCUAUUCUCCUGACAUUGGGAAUGCUAUUUAUAAUUGCUUUCUCUACGUCUCAACCUAAAAGGUUCAUUAGAACCUUGUUUUCAAAUUUUCAAAAUGUAAUUGAUGGCAAACAAUCUACAUUAAAAGUAUGUUCAAAAUCAUUAACCAUUAGGUAAAUGCAAGUUAAAACCACAAUGAGUUAUCCACCUGCCAGAAUGACUAAAGUAAAAUAUAAAUGCUGGCAAAGGUGUGGAGACACUGGAUCACUCACACAUUGCUGGUAAGAAUGUAAAAUAGCAUAGCUUUUCUGGAAAAUGGUUUGAUGCCUUUUUGCAACUAUCAUGUGACCCAGAUAUCACUCUUGGGCAUUUAUCCCAGAGAAAUGAAGAAUUAUGUUCACCACUAAAACCUAUACAUGGAUGUUCAUAGCAGCUUUACUCAUAAUAGUCAAAAACUGAAAACAACCCAGAUAACUUUUAACAAGUGAUUUGUUAAAGGAUACCAUGGAAUAAUAUUUAACAAUAAAAAAUAAUGAACUAUUGACAUAUGACAAAUUUCUAGGAAAUUGAUUACACUUAGUGAAAUAUGGCAAUCCCAAAAGAUUACAUACUGUAUGACUCCAAUUAUAUAACAUUUUUGAAUUGACAAUAUUUUAGAAAUGAAGAACAUAUGGUUGUGGUUCCCAGGGGUUGGCAUCUGGGUGAAGUGGGGACAGGGAAGAAGAUAUGAUUUAAUAAAAUGUCCAUAUGAAGGAUCAUUGUGCUGAUGGAAAUGCUGUGUAUGUUAGCUGUAUGAAUGUAAAUAUACUAGUUGUGUUCCUACUAUACUUCUGUGAGAUAUAACUGUUAGAUGGGGAAAUGGUAGAUGGGAUUUCUCUGAGUUAUUUCUUACAACUUCAUGUGAAUCUACAAUCACCUUAAAAUAAAUUAUUUAAUUAAAAUUUUAAUCACAUUUGUUUAGGAUAGUGUACAUAAAUAACCUGUAAAAGUUGAGACAGCAAAUAGAAACUACUUUAUUUCUUAGAAUGAGAAAA